rnacentral:rRNA from 1 species
UCAACCAUAGUGUGNUCUGGAAACUGUCUGACUUGAGUGCNGAAGGGGAGAGUGGAAUUCCAUGUGUAGCGGUGAAAUGCGUAGAUAUANGGAGGAACACCAGUGGCGAAAGCGGCUCUCUGGUCUGUCACUGACGCUGAGGCUCGAAAGCGUGGGUAGCGAACAGGAUUAGAUACCCUGGUAGUCCACGCCGUAAACGAUGAGUGCUAGGUGUUAGGCCCUUUCCGGGGCUUAGUGCCGGAGCUAACGCAAUAAGCACUCCGCCUGGGGAGUACGACCGCAAGGUUGAAACUCAAAGGAAUUGACGGGGGCCCGCACAAGCGGUGGAGCAUGUGGUUUAAUUCGAAGCAACGCGAAGAACCUUACCAGGUCUUGACAUCCCGAUGCUAUUCUUAGAGAUAGGAAGUUACUUCGGUACAUCGGAGACAGGUGGUGCAUGGUUGUCGUCAGCUCGUGUCGUGAGAUGUUGGGUUAAGUCCCGCAACGAGCGCAACCCUUAUUGUUAGUUGCCAUCAUUAAGUUGGGCACUCUAGCGAGACUGCCGGUAAUAAACCGGAGGAAGGUGGGGAUGUCGUCAAAUCAUCAUGCCCCUUAUGACCUGGGCUACACACGUGCUACAAUGGUCGGUACAACGAGUUGCGAGCCGGUGACGGCAAGCUAAUCUCUGAAAGCCGAUCUCAGUUCGGAUUGGAGGCUGCAACUCGCCUCCAUGAAGUCGGAAUCGCUAGUAAUCGCGGAUCAGCACGCCGCGGUGAAUACGUUCCCGGGCCUUGUACACACCGCCCGUCAUACCACGAGAGUUUGUAACACCCGA